rnacentral:rRNA from 1 species
UACGGGGGGUGCGAGCGUUGUCCGGAAUCACUGGGCGUAAAGGGCGCGUAGGUGGCCUGAUAAGGGUGUGGUGAAAGUCCGGGGCUCAACCCCGGAUCUGCCGUGCCGACUGUUAGGCUGGAGUACUGUAGGGGCAGGCGGAAUUCCGGGUGUAGCGGUGGAAUGCGUAGAGAUCCGGAGGAAGACCGGUGGCGAAGGCGGCCUGCUGGGCAGUUACUGACACUGAGGCGCGACGAGCGUGGGGAGCAAACAGG